GUGACAUUCUUCAGGCUGUGUCUCACCAACUUUCUUGGGAAGAGUUAGAAGCAGACCUGGCUCUGCAAAGCGGAUUGGAAGGAAGCCCAAAGGCAUCCGUCAGUUCCUGAGUGCCAGGCUUCACUGUUGGAGUUUGGUUCUGCAGCUGGUUGACAUCUCGCCAGACCUUCAAAAUUUGAAGAUAGAGGAGAGGGAGUGGAAAGCAGGAACUCUACAGUGUUCUGGCCUCCGAGUAGGGUGUAGUAAAA
rnacentral:lncRNA from 1 species